rnacentral:rRNA from 1 species
GACGGAGGAUGCAAGUGUUAUCCGGAAUCACUGGGCGUAAAGCGUCUGUAGGUUGUUUAAAAAGUCUGCAGUUAAAGGUUGAAGCUUAACUUCAAAAAUGCCGUAGAAACUUUUAAACUAGAGGAUGGUAGGGUAGAGGGAAUUUCCAGUGGAGCGGUGAAAUGUGUAGAUAUUGGAAAGACCACCGAUGGCGAAGGCACUCUACUGGGCCAUGACUGACACUGAGAGACGAAAGCUAGGGGAGCAAAUGGG